GAUGAACGCUGGCGGCGUGCCUAAUACAUGCAAGUCGAGCGCAGCGGGGACGGGUGAGUAAUACGUGGAUAACCUCCUAAACCACUGGGUUAACUUCGGGAAACAGGAGCUAAACCUGAUAUUUAUAGAUGGCUCCGCGGUGCAUACGCUAGUUGGUAAGGUAACGGCUUACUAAGGCAACGAUGCAUAGCCGACCUGUCAGGGUGAUCGGCCACACUGGAACUGAGACACGGUCCAGACUCCUACGGGAGGCAGCAGUAGGGAAUCUUCCGCAAUGGACGAAAGCCUGACGGAGCAACGCCGCGUGAGUGAGGAAGGUCUUCGGAUCGUAAAACUCUGUUAUUAGGGAAGCGGUACCUAAUCAGAAAGCCACGGCUAACUACGUGCCAGCAGCCGCGGUAAGUC
rnacentral:rRNA from 1 species